UACGUAGGUGGCAAGCGUUGUCCGGAAUUAUUGGGCGUAAAGCGCGCGCAGGCGGUCCUUUAAGUCUGAUGUGAAAGCCCACGGCUCAACCGUGGAGGGUCAUUGGAAACUGGGGGACUUGAGUACAGAAGAGGAAAGCGGAAUUCCACGUGUAGCGGUGAAAUGCGUAGAGAUGUGGAGGAACACCAGUGGCGAAGGCGGCUUUCUGGUCUGUAACUGACGCUGAGGAGCGAAAGCGUGGGGAGCAAACAGG
rnacentral:rRNA from 1 species